GAUGAACGCUGGCGGCGUGCCUAAUACAUGCAAGUCGAGCGAACAGACGAGGAGCUUGCUCCUCUGACGUUAGCCGCGGACGGGUGAGUAACACGUGGAUAACCUACCUAUAAGACUGGGAUAACCUCGGGAAACCGGAGCUAAUACCGGAUAAUAUAUUGAACCGCAUGGUUCAAUAGUGAAAGACGGUUUUGCUGUCACUUACAGAUGUAUCCGCGCCGCAUUAGCUAGUUGGUAAGGUAACGGCUUACCAAGGCAACGAUGCGUAGCCGACCUGAGAGGGUGAUCGGCCACACUGGAACUGAGACACGGUCCAGACUCCUACGGGAGGCAGCAGUAGGGAAUCUUCCGCAAAGGGCGAAAGCCUGACGGAGCAACGCCGCGUGAGUGAUGAAGGUCUUCGGAUCGUAAAACUCUGUUAUUAGGGAAGAACAAAUGUGUAAGUAACUAUGCACGUCUUGACGGUACCUAAUCAGAAAGCCACGGCUAACUACGUG
rnacentral:rRNA from 1 species